CUGUAAAUUUCUCUGUUAAAAAAGACUAAAACAUGAUGUGUGUGGCAGAAGUGAAAGAAAUCGUGUUUGCUAAAGUAAUUGUGGUGAUAGAAAUAGUUUAGCCUCAGAAGCUGCUGAGGUGGCCCAUUCUAUCCCAGUACAAGG
ensembl:snoRNA SNORA66 Small nucleolar RNA SNORA66